GUGCCAGCAGCCGCGGUAACACGUAGGGGGCGAGCGUUAUUCGGAUUUACUGGGCGUAAAGCGCGUGCAGGCGGUACGGUAAGUUGGAUGUGAAAGCUCCCGGCUCAACUGGGAGAGGUCGUUCAAUACUGCCGAACUUGAGGGCAUCAGAGGAAGGUGGAAUUCCCGGUGUAGUGGUGAAAUGCGUAGAUAUCGGGAGGAACACCAGUGGCGAAGGCGACCUUCUGGGAUGUUCCUGACGCUCAGACGC
rnacentral:rRNA from 1 species